GGGUCGGUGGCGUAGUUGGUUAUCGCAUCUGUCUUACAUUUGUAUGAACGGUCAUCUCCACAGAAGGUCCUCAGUUCGAACCUGGGUCGACUCA